GUGCCAGCAGCCGCGGUAAUACGGAAGGGGCGAGCGUUGUUCGGAAUCACUGGGCGUAAAGCGCGCGUAGGCGGCCUUGCAAGUGCGGCGUGAAAGUCCUGGGCUCAACCUGGGGACGGCGCUGCGGACUGCAUGGCUAGAGUCCGGAAGAGGGUGGUGGAAUUCCGAGUGUAGAGGUGAAAUUCGUAGAUAUUCGGAGGAACACCGGUGGCGAAGGCGGCCACCUGGUCCGGCACUGACGCUCAAGCGCGAAAGCGUGGGGAGCAAACAGGAUUAGAUACCCCGGUAGUCC
rnacentral:rRNA from 1 species